AACGAACGCUGGCGGCAUGCCUAACACAUGCAAGUCGAACGAAGGCUUCGGCCUUAGUGGCGCACGGGUGCGUAACGCGUGGGAAUCUGCCCUUUGCUUCGGAAUAACAGUUAGAAAUGACUGCUAAUACCGGAUGAUGUCGCAAGACCAAAGAUUUAUCGGCAAAGGAUGAGCCCGCGUAGGAUUAGCUAGUUGGUGGGGUAAGGGCCUACCAAGGCGACGAUCCUUAGCUGGUCUGAGAGGAUGAUCAGCCACACUGGGACUGAGACACGGCCCAGACUCCUACGGGAGGCAGCAGUGGGGAAUAUUGGACAAGGGGCGAAAGCCUGAUCCAGCAAUGCCGCGUGAGUGAUGAAGGCCUUAGGGUUGUAAAGCUCUUUUACCCGGGAUGAUAAUGACAGUACCGGGAGAAUAAGCUCCGGCUAACUCCGUG
rnacentral:rRNA from 1 species